AUUUCUGAUCUUUUUCAGGCGGUACCUCGGCCAGUCCUAACAACCACCUCCAGGACGACCCCCUUUCGGUUGCAGUUGACGGAGCCGCUCCAUCUUAUUGACUCAAAUAUCCAACUCGUCUCCGUCAGUCCGGAGUGCCCAGAAAGCCCGAGAAUGUCCGUCCCCAUAACCCACAUCGAGCUGAUCAUUUUCUGGAACUUUUUUGCCAUCGCGAGCUCAUGGAUUGUCCCUCAACCCAAGCAAAACAUUUGGAAGAUGCUCGCUGGCGCCCUCGGCAGAGAUCAUUUGUGCCUCUCCGCCACCUCGGCAGCAGACCCCUUGUCGACCUGCCUUGUGGGGAUCCCGCUUCCUCCAAAAGAGUUUCCCGAGCCCCUUUACUCCUUCCUUGAACCCCUUUCCCAAAAUAAAGUUUUCAGUCCCUCUAGUCCCAAUCCCAAUCCAAUCUGGAGGAGGCUAAUGUCCAAAUUGAAUAUAUCUAAAUCUGACCCCACCGAAUUUAAAUUGCUCGGCUCCGCGUCAGCAAAAUUGUGUGUUCAAUUUUUCCCUUCCCGCGACCGCUACGAAAAAUCUUUUACGCCAAUUAUAGAACAGAAUCAAAGCUACGCGGCAGGGAAUUGGUGUUCUGUCACCUCUCAUAUUACCACCCCCAUCUCAUUUGACGAUAAACCCAGAUCCCUCCCUAACGGCAUAUUUUUCAUUUGCGGAAACCGAGCAUGGGCAGGUAUCCCCCCUCGCCUUCUAGGAGGCCCGUGUACAUUUGGACGGCUGACGCUGUUUGCUCCCAACAAUUCCCAAAUUAAAGAUUGGAAGGAGAAAAUUGUCGCACACAAUUCGGUCCGCGUAGCAAGAGACCUUAAAGAUUUAGAUGAACAGUGCGACUCCAAAAUUGUUCAUUGGUCAAAGCCAGAAGGUGUCGCAUGGACAGUGUUUCUCCCAUGGGUGUCUAUUGCAAAGUCUCUAGGUGAAUUAGCUCACCUGGAGUGUUGGGUAGCCAGACAGGCCAAUUUUACCUCAGCCGCUCUAAGCAACCUCCUAGCAGACGAGGAAAUAACAAGGCAGGCGACUCUCCAAAACCGGGCAGCAAUAGACUUCCUAUUGCUGCUUCAGGAUCACCGGUGUGAGGAGUUCGAAGGGCUCUGCUGCCUCAAUUUAUCAUCCAAAGCCGGGGACGCCAGAAGAUCUAUUGACCAAAUGAAGGGAAUGAUCAGCGACAUUAAGGAGAAAACAUCAGACUGGUUGGGAGACAUCUUUACGGGAUGGGGUCUCUCGGGCUGGGUAGUCUCUAUUUUGAAAACUGUUGUUUUAGUCCUUUUCAUUUUACUAGUCAAUUCAAUUGCAAUUUCUGUCGUUUGGAGAAUUCUUAGAAGGCUUAUAGUUAAAUCGAUGUCUGCUUUAGAAGUGAAUCGGGUGGUAGUCGAAGAACAGAUUAUGGACGAAAGUCAAGAAGAAGGUGCCGAAGAAGACGAGCAGUUAAAAGACCACCCUGGGUCAGAUGAGUCCUCAGAAGAUGGUGUUUAAGUUACCCCACUCCUCCUUUUUCUUUUUAAACAAAGAAGGGGGAAAUGUAGGGGUGCAUUAGUUUUAAGUUGGUUUAUUCCUGUACCCCCCAUUCUGUUUAUGGUUCUGCCCGGGCUUUCUCUCUCUCCCUCUUCUGAAUUGUCCCGUCAGCUACACUUUAUCUUUCCUAAAUUCCUCCCUAACUGCCUGUCUGUUAUUCAGGGUCCUUGCCCACUCAUCCAGAACAUUCUGGCCUGGACAUUGAAUGAUUGGUUUAGAGGUCAGGAUUCAACCCCUAAUUUAUUUACACUGGACAUCUGAGCUGUUUGUUAUGCGUUAUUCCCUCCUCUCAAAAUUUUAGAUUGGUCGCUGUGUUCUAGUUAUAAGACCUUGCCGAGCAAGCUUUUUUGUCCGCGCCCGACGCUUCUUCAAUAAACAUCUCCCUUUUCCCUG